CCUAGGUAUAUCAAGAUGGGCGUAAGUUGUUACCAUGAUUUUAUAGUCGAAAACUAGAAGCAGGGCAGCGCUGUGCUGAGAUUCAAUGGUGAUGGAUGGCGGGGUUUUUGCAUCUAUUUCAGCUCCCCAACUAAAGCCCUUAUUUGGCAGGCGGCAUACACUUGUAAAAUCAUGUCCCUCUCUUCUCGCUGCAUAUGAUGGCAGACACCGGGCUCUGUUAUCUACCACUCCCAAACCCCGUUCGGGUUUUACAAAUGGUUUAAGCUUGAAGUUGAUAAGAGGAAAAGGCCGAGGGCUAAACGAGAUAAAAUGUGUGAAGGUCAAUAGCCCUCUAGAAUGGUAUAGGGACGGGGCAGAUGGAUUGUGGUAAGAAAUAAUGGUUCCCUUGCUGAGAAAGGCUACUCCAUUGGAGGUGUCGAAAUGGGCAGCAAUGGCAGCUAUUUCCAUUUGGGCCACCAAGUUCAUAAUCAUAUAAAGGCCUUUGUCUGAGUAAAUGGUGAGUAGGAUCUUUUGGAGUCAUCCAUACAUGGUGAAUCCAUAUAUUAUCCAAAUAUCCCAUACCUGUAUCCCAUUGGCGUUACUUCUUCAUUGGGUUCCUAAAUGCCCACGAUAAUUGUUCAAGGCAGAGAGAAAGAGGGAUCAAGCAAGUUUGCAAAUAGCAAAUAUGGGUGCAGCGAUAAUGAUCUAUGUGGUGGUUUUGUUGGGUGUGGCUUGUGCCUCUGAUAGAUUUUCUGUGACAGGCAGGGUCUACUGCGAUAACUGUGCUGCUCGAUUCCUGACCAGAAUCUCUCCUGCUAUUUCUGGUUUCUAUGGUGUUGGAGAUUCGCGAAGACAGGUUCUUUAUAUUGCUUGAAGAACUCACCAUUCUGUACAGGGAGGAGGUAAAAAAUGCAUAUUUUUGGCCUCAUGUCAAAAAGCAGUUAAAUGAACAAGAUCUCAAGUUUCAAAAUGAAUACAUGAAAAUUCGUAUCUAAAGUUAUCUGGAGAAACCAGAUGUCGAGAGGAUUCACAUGUUGAGUGGGUAGUAUAAAAUCUUGAGUCUGCUGACAUGGCAGAUCCAGUUAUUGGCACAUAUGAUUUGGUCAUGUAAAACUGCAGCAAUAAUAUCAGAGGCUGCUAGAAAUGUCUGUUUGGUUGUUUCCAUAAUCUACAUCUCAUAAACUAGUUUUUCUCUAUUGGUGAUCGGUUUUGGACUUGUAGUCAGGUGUUUUAGCUCUGUUUUGCUUUGGUGACGGUGGCUUUUAUGGUUUAUUUUGUGCUCUCCUUCUGGUGAGAGCCAUUUUCUUCCACCUUAUAUUGUAACCUGUUUUUAUGAAUGAUUAUCAAUAUCAAUAAAAAAAUCAAUGAUACUUU